GAAAACAUAGUCAUGAUGAUGACAGUGAUCAAGAGAGCAGAACAAAUGCUUUUGUUAAGAAGAAAUCAAUAUUUGUGGCCACAUCUUUGCAGCCAAAGAAGAAACACAAGUGAAAUUCUGUUAACUGAAUUAAUGAGGUAUAAUUCCCCAGAGCAUGCCAAAUUUAACUUUUCUAAGUCACUUGAACUUGUCUAAUAACAACUUGUUUGGGAGAAUUCCAUCGGGAAAUCAGCAGAUCCAUCUAUUUAUAUCAGCAACAGUGGACUCUGUGGACCUCCUCUUACAGAUAAGUUUGUCAAUGGCGAGACAUCUCAAUGUCCAAUGCCUGCCAAGGGUGACAUAGAAAACGAUGAAGAGGAGUAUGAAAUGCUUUGGUUUUACUCUUCCAUGGGACUCGGAUUUGUCACGGGGUUUUCGGCCCUCUGCAGCGUUUUAAUUCUCAAGAAGUCUUGGAGGAUUGCGUAUUACUGUUUCUUUGAUGAUGUGAAAGAUAGACUUUUUUGUAACUGCCGCUUUACAGGAUGUUAGAUUGAAGAAGUUUGAAGGAAAUUCAGGUCAUGAGUAAUGAAUGAUUGUUAGUAACCCAAGUCACUUCAUAAUGGAGUUUUUUCUUCUUCUUCUUCUACUUCAUUUUAUUUUUUUUCCUGAUAAGUAUUGCUAAGUAUUGCCUCCUCUAAUGUAUAUAAUUUUCAAGUAUCAAUAAAAUUACAAGUGCUGUGCUCCCACCUUUCUGUAAAAAAUAAAAUAAAAUAAAUAUUCCUGCUUUACCCACUUCAUCUGCUCAUCAAAUUUUAAAUAUUCCUGCUCUAUUCUUCAUUUUGGCCACA